GUAACAUUGAGAAACCUUGUUUUGAGGAAAUCACUGGUGAUCAGCUCUGUCCUUACUUCUUCCUGUCCAAGAAACAGCAUGGAGCUGCCUCACGGGAAGUGUGCAGGUGAAGCUGGGGGACAUCCAAAAGAAGACUGAGGAGGCUUGCAGACCUGGGAGGGGAAGGAGGGUGUGGCAGCCCCAGAACCCUGGGUGUCACUGACCGGGCAAAGGCCCUGGGGCCCUCCUGAGAAAAUGUGCAGAGGAAACAGGACAUGGGGUGGACAGCAAAGGCAAGAACGUCAACUCCAUAGCUGCAAGAGGCUAGAAGCACGGAGCGGGAAAUGGCACUUCCCUUGUGUUUUUAUGUUUAGCUGGGGUUUAAUUAAUAACCGGCAAACAAGUCUAUAAUUAACUUGACUCCCCUUUUGGCCAGCCAAGGGAAUAAUAAUCAUGUUUUUUUUUUUUUUAAGUCCUUGGUGUUGCUGGAAAGAUGGGAGGGAAAUGGGGCUUUAAGUGCUGCUUGCACAAUAAUGAAAGCUCUGCGUAGCCCUCACUGCUCCCUCUCCCUUGCAAAUUGCAUUAUUUAUACCAGAUGUUGCAUUAAAAGAAGAAUUACUAUACUUCAGGGCUUAAAUUAUAUAUGCCUGAUUUAUUGCCUUUUUUCAGUUUUAAAUGCUACCUUG
rnacentral:lncRNA from 1 species